rnacentral:lncRNA from 1 species
GGCAUUGUGGCAGUCUUUUGUCUUACAUAAUCGGAAUUGCAAAAACACUCUAGUGUUCACUUUAGCUCGGCGUUACACAGUUAGAAGUGAUACGUCGAGAUACAUAAGAUAAUAUAUAAUAGAAAUAAGCAUGACAGUAGACAGAAUACUUUCCCAGACAAGCUCUGGUGCAAAGAGCUCUGCUACUACUAACAAUCAAUCUUCUUCCUUUCUUGACAGUCAGGAGAUUUGGAAUAUGCCCUAUAACUGCAGACUCCAAUAUUGCAAAUAGCACCUGCAAUACAGUGGAAUAACAUAUUGGUGUGCUGAAGA